UUACGUUGUAGAUGUCUAUGGGCUUCAGUAACCACUUAACACCAGGUGGGCUGUGAGAUCGUCCAUCCAUCUAAGCAAAAAAAAAAAAAAAAAUUAUAACCUUUGUACUCGCGUAAUUAAUCAGAUAAUAAAGUACCUAAUAAAUACAGUCAUUUGAUUCGCCACCGCUGACGGCGGGCGAUACACGCUAUCAAUCUAGGCUACAGCAACAUACAUAGGUCAAACCACAGUCGUCCAGUAAUUAGUGAAAUUAUUACAGUGUGCUCAGUGCGAGUUUUUUAACGUUCUCGAUAGCGUAAAAGUUAACACAAUUUUGUAUGGAGUUGGAACGUCUGCCUACGUUUGCCGCUAGGGGCGCUGUUCCGACUGCAUACUUUGAGUUAACCUUUGAUCGCGAUGAUCGCUGCGAGUGACAAAACAAUUUUUUUUUUCGAGUCGUUCGCUUAAACAUCCCUAUCUUCCUUUCAAGCGGUUGGUGAUUGCGCGAACAAUCCAAGCGACUCGCAGGAUGUGAGGAAAAUGGAGAGGGAAAUUUUUAAACGUGCUGAUAAUUAUUGUCAUUUUAAUGUAGUGGUCGUCACACUUUUCUGGUCAAGGGCCACAUAGGACAAUGUGAGGUAUCACUGCGGGCCACACAUUUUUGGACUGCUUAGUUGACCACCAAUCAAUUGACAUAUUUAAUAUCAAAUGUCAAAAGGCGACUGUCCCAGAAAUAAAUCAAUUAUAAUUAUUAUUUAUGCAACGCGGGUAGCUUAUUAGUUAGGAAUAGGCGUGAAAACAUAUCUGUAAUGAAAAAGAUCGUAAAUAUAUUAAAUUAGGUUUUUUUUUAUUUCUACUAAAAUUGUUUGCUCUGCCGCGGGCCGCAGAAAUAUCGUCCAGGGGCCGCAAGCGGCACGCGGGCCUUAGUUUGACGACCACGGUUUUAAUAGAGUCAUAUUACUCUGAAGCUGUGAAUUGUCAGUAUACAGGAACAGUACUAAUCUCGGUCAAGAUUAAAUAAAUAGGUCAAUAAUAAAAAAACUAUGCGACAUCCCACCCGCCUCUCCCUUCCAGAGCCAACCUGACAGUAGUAACAACUUCUACUAUAAUUAAAAAAAACAUCCUCUUAAAACCACAACUCGAAAUCCAUACGGCAAAUGUUGCUUGGCAACAAAAACUUUUCGAUUUUAAUAUCCACAUUCUAUUUCAGGUGAUGAUUCAAUCAAAGCACAGUUGACUACUAAAAAGCCUCGAAACUAGUAUUUAGUUAUUGAUGAAGUCAAUUAGCAUAAAUGUAAUCCAAACAAAACGUAUUUACCUCGGGCCGAUUGUUUUUUUGCUUGUUUUCCUUAUUAUUAUUUUCUACCUAAAUCGAACGUACUAAGGUACUCAUUUUGAAGUUUUUACAAAAACACUGUUUUUGCCUGUAUUUAAGUGCAUACCUUUCUUUCGAUAGGCAGCGGCUUGGCUCUGCCCCUGGCAUUGCUGAAGUCCAUGGGCGACGCACGCUGCGUUUUCCGGUGCAGUGGCGAUGUGUUCUUCAACAUGCCCUACCAAUCUUCACUUAAAACAAUGCUUCGGACUAUGUCAGUUACCUAGGUUCUUCUACGAAUCUCGUCAUUCCUGAUUCGGUCUCGCAGGGAAACUCCGAGUAUAGCCCUCUUCAUUGCCGUUCUGAUAAGGCCUGUUGCUAUCGACCAUGUCUCACUGCCUAUAUCAUCACUGGCAAUACACUGGUCAAAGACUUUCGUCUCGAGACACCUUAACAUCAUCAACAUUGAAGUCUGAUGAAUUAAUGUUCCUCAUAUUUCAGCACGAAGCAGAAACGUGGACUAUAUUACGUCGGGGAAGCUUAGAGGAUUGAUGACUCUGAGAUGUGACGCUGGAGGCGUAUGUCGCGGACACACUCGGACUCCCGAAUGCAAAAAUGCGUCGAGGCCUUGAAGAUACUGUUACGCCAGUAAGAGUAACGCCAUCUAUCGCCAAAUAGCAGAAAUUUAUACUUCGGCAGAAUUUUUAUUUAUCCCGCACCCCAGCGCGUAACAAUACUUUUAAGUUUUAAGUCUUCAUAAAUAAAUAAAGAAAAUAUUAUAAAAUAAAAUUCUACAUCCACGAGUACGCACCUGCAUACUUCAAUAACCACGUCUAAGAUAUAAAAUAGAAUUAUUAAAUCCACGCUUUAUUCGUGACCAACAUGUCGUUGAAAACGCUAGUCUUCUGUGUUUGCGUCACUUUAGCUUCGGCGGCGAUCCAGCGCUCUGCUUUGGAGCCAAUCCCUGAUAAAUUUAAUGGCCUUCAAGGCUGUUACAUCAGGGAGUUCGAUGGUGUCCUUCCCUUUGAUUCUGUAACAUACUCGAAGGAAGCAGAAUGCACCCGAUACUUCUGCGCGCACGAUGCUGUCAUACACCAAUCGU